rnacentral:rRNA from 1 species
UACAUUUAUAAAUUAUUAUAUAAUUUAAAAUUACAAAUAUAAGAAAUCAUAAAAUAUCAUUAUUAUUAAGUAUAGUAAUAGAAAUUAUAAAUAAUAAAAAGUAAAUAUAU